rnacentral:tRNA from 1 species
GCCAGUAGCAGCUCGAAGAGUGCGGCACUGAAGAUGCUGAGGAUUGAUGGCA